UUAUUGUUUUUUUCUUGAAUAAAUCAUUAUUUGUGCGUAUCGUGAGAGAGCUACUAAAGUCGGAUUUUGAGAGAGUUUAAAAGAAAAAGAAAAAUCAGUUUUAUCUUGCUACUUUUUGUAUCAUGGCGUAUAGAGGAGAGAGUUAGUUAACAUAUCCUGAAAGUCUUAGAGCUACCCCUCCUACUACUGUUUUGUUUCAAAAAAGGUCUAAAGGGAGGGGUAGAGGUGAAAUGUUUGUCGAUAAGGCUGAUAGCUGGUUAGGGGGGAAACAUAUUUAAGUAUGGCUUGCAAAGUGUUGGGAGGGGGCGAUUUCAUCGUCUUCUGCUUUUUGUAAAGUAAGUCUCUUAGGGUUAAUCUUAAGAGAAGUUUUGUCAUAACAAAAAAUGUCGUAGGGUUAAAAUUUCCCAUCUGUUACGUUUUUUUAAAGUUAUUUAGGUUUAGAGUGUAUUCAGUACCCCCUCUUCAGAGGUAGUUUUUUUUUGAAGAUUAGUAUACGAUUAGUAGGGGGAAAUUUAAAAAAGAUGACGCGUAAGGUUUUUAAGCGAGUGUUGGAUUUUUCAUAGAGGUUGGCCUAAGGAACUCGGCAAAUAUGCCCCUCGCCUGUUUAUUAAAAACAUGGCUUUCAGUAACUUUAAAGAUUGAAAGUCGGACCUGCCCGGUGUAACAUAAAUAAACGGCUGCUGCUUGCGGUACUAAGGUAGCGCAGUCACUUGUCCCUUAAUUGGGGAAUGGUAUGAAUGGUUUGACGAGGGGGCGACUGUCUCAGGUCAAUUACCCAAAAUUUUUUUUUAAGUGAAAAAGCUUAAGUAAUGUUAAAAGACGAGAAGACCCCGUCGAGCUUGCAAAGGCCCUUAAUUUUUUGAGGGGUACAUUUUUGUUGGGGAAACAGGGAGAAGCAUUAACUCUCCUUUUCUGUCAAGUAGAUCCUUUUUUAAAGAAAAAAGAAAAAGCUACCGCGGGGAUAACAGCGUAAUUUUUUUUAAGAGUUCUAAUCAAAAAAAAAGAUUGCGACCUCGAUGUUGAAUUAAAGUGUAAUCCAGGUGCAGGCGCUUGGAUGGUAGGCCUGUUCGUCCUUUAAAACUUUACAUGAUUUGAGUUUAAACCGGCGUGAGCUAGGUUGGUUUCUAUCUUUAUGUUUACCCCCUAUGUACGAAAGGACCAGGGAGUUGGUAUUAAUCCGUAGUU
rnacentral:rRNA from 1 species